rnacentral:rRNA from 1 species
ACGGCUCAGUAACACGUCGAUAAUCUGCCCUUAAGUCAGGGAUAGCCACGGGAAACUGUGGGUAAACCCAGAUACACCAAACGAACUGCAAAGCCGUUUGGCACAAACUCGCGCUUAAGGAUGAGACGGCGGCCGAUUAGGUAGUUGGUGGGGUAACGGCCCACCAAGCCCGUGAUCGGUACGGGGCAUGAAAGUGCUAGCCCGGAGAGGGACACUGAGAUACUGGUCCCAGCCCUACGGGGUGCAGCAGGCGCGAAACCUUUACAAUGCACGAAAGUGUGAUAAGGGGAUCCUACGUGCUCAUGCAACGCAUGGGCUUUUGCCAAGUGUAAAUAACUUGGAGAAUAAGUGGUGGGUAAGACUGGUGCCAGCCGCCGCGGUAACACCAGCGCCACAAGUGGCAAUCAGCAUUAUUGGGCCUAAAGCGUCCGUAGCCGGACAUGUACAUCUUUUGUGAAAUCGUCAAGCUUAACUUGGCGGCACGCAGAGGACACGGCAUGUCUUGGGAGUGGGAGAAGUCAGAGGUAUUUGUGGGGGACCGGUAAAAUGGUAUAAUCCCACAAGGACCACCGAUGGCGAAAGCAUCUGACCAGAACACGUCCGACGGUGAGGGACGAAAGCCAGGGGAGCGAACCGGAUUAGAUACCCGAGUAGUCCUGGCCGUAAACGCUGCGAGCUAGGUGUUGCACCCUCCCAUGAGGAGGUGCAGU